rnacentral:rRNA from 1 species
ACGAACGCUGGCGGCAGGCUUAACACAUGCAAGUCGAACGCACCUUCGGGUGAGUGGCAGACGGGUGAGUAACGCGUGGGAACCUUCCCUGUGGUACGGAAUAGCUCCGGGAAACUGGAAUUAAUACCGUAUACGCCCUUUUGGGGAAAGAUUUAUCGCCAUAGGAUGGGCCCGCGUCGGAUUAGCUUGUUGGUAGGGUAAUGGCCUACCAAGGCAACGAUCCGUAGCUGGUCUUAGAGGAUGAUCAGCCACACUGGGACUGAGACACGGCCCAGACUCCUACGGGAGGCAGCAGUGGGGAAUAUUGGACAAUGGGCGAAAGCCUGAUCCAGCCAUGCCGCGUGAGUGACGAAGGCCUUAGGGUUGUAAAACUCUUUUGGCGGGGACGAUAAUGACGGUACCCGCAGAAUAAGCCCCGGCUAACUUCGUGCCAGCAGCCGCGGUAAU